GGAGAAGCCUGAGCUCAGACUGUCAAGUGGUGCAGUGGGACUGGGCUGUUAGAAAUGGCUGAUUAGCAGAAACAGGUCAAAGUCAUCGACCCAUUUCUGGGGAGAUUCGGUGUAACAGCUGCUCUGCUGGAACUGCCUCCACUACUACCUCAGCAAAGCCUGCCAUAAUUACAGUUAAAAAUCAGUUUAAACCCUUGCAAAUAGUCAAGUGAGUGCUUUGCAAGCAUGUGUCACUAAAUAUUUUAGUUUUCUUUUACAUUGUCAAAAAUGCUCUUGAGAGUCUACAAAACCCUUAUAGCCUUAUGGAGAAAGUCACUGAACCAGUCUUUUUGUUGUUGUUUUAUGGCCUUCUGGAGAUCACACUGUGAUUUUAUGUGCGCGUGUUUCUAGCAGUGUGGGAAAGGUGGGGAGGGGCACUAUCAGGGCUUACACUGAGCGUAUCAAACAGCCAUCUUUCUCCCAGAGACAGGAGAUAAACAUCAGACAUCCUUGGGUUGCUGCUGCACUUUUGAACCUACCUACUCUAACACACCCACUCGAUCCACAUGGCCAAGAUCAAAACAAAUUCAGAGAGAGAGAGAGAAGGAAGGAAGGAAAGCAAACUAAAAACUACGAGCAAACUAAGCCACUCUACCACUCCUCCCCACAAACUGAGGUUAAAUGGAAAUGUGUGUGAACCCCCCCCCCCCACCCUCCUUCUUCUAAUGAUUACAAAUGACUGGUCUCCUCUCCUCUCCUCCUAUUCUCUGGAUGUGGGCAGCAGAGGGAGGGGGCCAUGCGGGGGUGGCAAUUUGAACUGCUUCUCGCUUCAGGGAACCACAAAUGAAUUACAGCAGGAAAAAAAAAAAGUCUUAUCAGUGCGAUGGGAGAGGAGAGCGUGUUGGUGGUAAAAAAAAGAAGGGAGACCGGAUUAUCGCUGAUCCAUAGUGGGUAAUAAGUAUUUGGGGAGAUGUGCCAGGCUCUAAUGGCACAUAAUUUAUAAAGUCCACUUCAGUACUGUCAGCACAUCACUGUUGAGUGAGGAAGAUUGCCAGUGCCGCUGCCAAGCGGACGACCACAGCCCUUCCCUCUACACCAGUGGAGGCCAUGCCAAGGGUCAGAUGUUAAAUAUUAAGAUAGCUGGAUUUGCUGAGGGCAAUUUCAUGUCUGAGUGCACUGCUAAGUGUUGAUUGGUCCACAGUCUGUGUGUCGUGUAUGUGUGUGUGUGUGUGUGUGUCUGUAGCACGGUUGUGCAGUGACCCCUGUCAAUAGUUCAGACACCACCCUGCAGGCUACACUCAGGCUGUUCCUCUGAGCUGCCUCAUCAUCCUAUAUCUUCUCCACAGACUCAGUUUUGAUCACAUCCUUCAGCAUGGCUGUGCAGCUCCCUUCAGAUUAGUUGUCUUACUACAGUUUACUGGUGUGUGGAUUUACUGCAUCCAAGCAGUCUUGAUGUUGAGGGUCAGGUGCAUUUAAUGGCUUCUGCCGUCAUUAUGGAACCGGCAACUUGUGGAGAAGUCCUCUUCCCUCAUUCAAAAAUGAGAGCAGAUGAGUAUCCAUGAAGUUGAAAUGUUAGGUGCAGAUAAGCAGCACUAAGGGGAAAAAGGGAUGAAAAAUGAGAAAAACAAAAGAAUGACUGAGAGAGGGGGAUUGCAAACAUUUUUACAAGAGCACUGCACGAGGGAUCGGAAUGGACAUGUCAGAGUUGGAGCGCUGAUGAAAUGUCAAAAGCACUAGGAGCAGACACAGUGCCAAAAACAACGGUGGAAUAAAGAGAAGAAGACUUCAGAAGAACAGUAGGCCUACUGUCUUGGACUAUGUCUCUGUGUAACAGGAGUGGAGUGAGGCAGUGGCCCAUGGGAAAGCACACAGUGAGAAUGAGACAAUGGGCUGUGGAGAGCUGGUGAGUGAAAAGCCGAAUUUCGAGAAACACUACACGACCUGCUCCCACCAGACUCCUACACUGCACACUGCAUCCUCCUGCACAUUUAAUGGCCUUUUGACAGCCUGUCAGCGAGCCAGCGAUCACUAUCUUCACAAAGGGAAAGAUUCAGUCAGUCAUCGUACUGGUUCUGAAAUGGAGGUUGAACCCUCGUCCACACUCUUCUCUGCAGUACACUCAUUUUAAAGAAGCACCCACAGGUCGUUUCCGACAACCGCAGGCAGUUUGCCACUGGAGCCCGAAUGGAUGAAUGACUGAACAUUCAGGAACCGUGUCUGGACAGUCUGUCAAAUCGCCUGAGAGCAGGUUCUUCAUUUUGUUUUGUCUUGUCCGAUGGCAGUAAGAUCUGUGAGGCAUAUUCACCGGCCACCUGGCUAACGGAAACCUCUCUAAUUUGGCAGGAGUGAGAUGACACAAAGGGAGCCCUCUGGGGCUUGGUGUCUGCUCCAUCAAUGUCAGGAGUGGGAAAUCUCAUUUCAGAUAAUAAAUUACAUAAAGUGCAACCUGUAAGAGUUGAACUGAUUUUCCAAUGGCUUACGGCUCAGGCAAGAUAAAUGAGAGAAUAUCAGUUUUUAAAUGUCUGUUUUUGGAAGACAGGGUGCUGGCAUGGGUCAUUAUGAAUAGUUAUCAAUUUUUUUUUUAAUUACUCACCAUAUCUGUGAUUAAUGUGGUACAGUGCAUACAUUAAUCUAAAAUAAAGUGUGAACCAUGGACACACGGAUAUCUAGGUAGAACAAACACACACACACACACACACACACACA